UUUUGGAACUUGAAGUUUUUGAUAAAAGAUAGGAAUAAAUUAACUAUUUAACGAGUCGAUCAUAAAUACAUUGCAUGUGGAAUAUUUGAAGUUCCCGAUAUUUAAGAUGCCGAAUUUUCUAUGGAAUAAAUGGAUCAAAAACUGACAUCCGAGGGAAUUGGAACUGGAGUAAGAUGGGGUUUUAUGUUUGCUACCCGAGAUUCCAUCAGCACCCUCUGGAUCGCAAAUUAUUCUCAUCAAUGUGUCGGAUAGUACGUAUCAGUCCCGUACGGUGCUGAAAUGAGAAGAAUAUUUCCAUUACGACUUUCUCAAAUAAAAAUAGUCGAAUGGUAUCUGAAACUAAUUUCAUUGUAUUUAUCGGGUCCUCAA